UACGGAGGAUCCGAGCGUUAUCCGGAUUUAUUGGGUUUAAAGGGUGCGCAGGCGGGAGAUUAAGUCGGCGGUGAAAUUUUGCAGCUCAACUGUAAAAGUGCCUUCGAAACUGGUUUCCUUGAGUGUAGAUGAAGUAGGCGGAAUUUGUGGUGUAGCGGUGAAAUGCAUAGAUAUCACGAGGAACUCCGAUUGCGCAGGCAGCUUACUAAACUACUACUGACGCUCAGGCACGAAGGCGUGGGGAUCAAACAGGAUUAGAUACCUGCGUA
rnacentral:rRNA from 1 species